rnacentral:misc_RNA from 1 species
ACACACGCACGCACGAUAUACACGUAGAGCUAAGCCACCACAUGACCACCACGACUACGUACGGGCACACAUAUACGUACGUACGUACACGGGUACACACAGCAGGUUCGAUCAGUCGGACUUGAGCAGGAAGCUCUGCUUGCGCUCGCGGAACUCGCCGGUGCAGGUGUUGAAGUCCUCCUCCACCUUGGUCUCGCGCACCAUCAGGUAGUCGUUGCCGUGGUUGUGGUUGUGGUGGUGGCGGCCGGAGCCGGACCUGUCGAUCUCCUGGAACGUCUCCUUGACGACGUGCUGCUGCUGCACGCCGCCGCGGCCGAGGAAGCCGCCGGUGGGGGUCACCGACCUCACCUCCUCCGAGCAGUAGUCCACCUCCUGGUAGUGAGCCAUUGUUUUUUAGUUGGGGAGUGAGGUGAGGUGGUGUUGUGAUGAGCGAGAAAUGGUUA